CUACCAAGCUUGUAUGUUGUUGCCCUCCGUGACAUUCUGCCACUGGACAGACGCUACAGGUGACUGUGCCAGUGUCAUCUCUCGUGCAGAGAAGAAGUUGUGUAUAAUUAUGGUGCAGGACCAUAUCCAUGGAGGAAAAAGUUCGAAAAGCUGUGACGUUAUAGUAUCCAAGCCAGGCGUGAGACCAGUCCAUUGCCUACUUGAAGUUUAAACAACGGAAAGGACAAGUUUGCUUUAUACACUGAUGUCGGAGCUUGGAGAAAUUCACUUGACUACAUUACCCAGCUCAGGCAGUCUGCAAUACUCAAAGAAUGUCCACGACUAAGAUGUUGAACCAGAUGGCCUACAUCCAGAACUGACGCAUGGAGUUCAAAACUACAUGGAUAAAGGCAGCUACGUUCGAUUCGGCUUAAGGUCACCAUAGUUAGCCCAGACAGCCCUCCGGCACUUUGUCAGAGGACAGAUCAUCUGAGAUGUGAUUGAGAGUCAUGAGAUGUGCAUUGCCCCAUCACCUUUGUCCAGCCACCUGGCAGAUUCCCUGCGGAGUAGUUGUGUGCUAACUUCUCGGGGUUCCAUCACCAAUGAUGGCUUCCCCAAGGCUACAACUACAUACAGAAGAUGAUAGUCAACAUUCAGCUUGUGAUGUAAGAAACGGGCAUUCAGCCGGCGAAUAUAAACCAGCACACCUUAACUGCUUGGUAGUUUUCAUGUGCAGUGCUCAUGGAAAGUGCAGGGAGAGGAUCUUGCUGGAACAGGUGCUCACCCUUCAGUUGGCUCGAUUGGUAGCGCCCAAGUCACUGCCAGCGCCCAUGAAAAGGCCAGAUGCCCUGGAGAUGGGAACCACUGACACAUGAUCAGUUCCCCAUCUAGAGCAGCACUAAAGGCGACCUCCAUAAAGCCUACUUUCUGGAAUACAUCUGUGUGCAGAGCUUGUACAUCAAGUUGAAGACUUACAAUUCAUCUCAUUGACAGUGAUACAACAUUUAAACAAAACCGUUUUAUGACUGAAAAAUCUAAAUAAAAACAAAAUAUGUUGUUGCCUUAUACCAGUGUCAUGGCACACUGGUCGCUUUACUAUAUGCUGCAAUAAAUUGCUUCUUUUCAAGGAUGAGGCUUUGUUGACUGCUUUAAUAAAUAUAUAAUGUAAAAUUACCUGCUCAACUAUGAAAUUAUAUGAAUCAAAUAUUGUGUACAACUACUGCUUGCCUCAUUAAAAAAACACAAUAUGAAGCUUCAUUACUAAAUGUGUCCGCAAAAUUUUAUUCCCGAUUCUGAUCAGUGACUCCUUUGUGUAGCUUAUGUUUAACGACUGUUCAGUUUAGUUGCUUUUUUGACCAAGUUAGUUAUUUAUCAAAUACAGUGUACUUUUCUAAUCAUUUUGCUCUAUGUUGUAUAAAGUUACUGUUCAAAAUGAAUCAGAUAUCUAAGAUGAGUAUUGUCUAAUCUUUUUUAAUUAAAAUCACUUGUCAUAAAUAUAACUUCCUGGGCUAGUUUUCAAAAUUGCA